ACAAGGAAGCAAUCUGAGGUGGCGACCGGCGCACGGGUGAGUAACACGUAUGCAACCUAGCCUGUAAGCCGGGGGAAUAACCCGUUGAAAGACGGACUAAUACCGCAUAAUACUAAAUUACUGCAUGGUAAUUUAUUUAAACAUUUAUGGCUUACAGAUGGGCAUGCGCAUGAUUAGCUAGUUGGAGAGGUAACGGCUCCCCAAGGCAACGAUCAUUAGGGUUCUGAGAGGAAGGUCCCCCACACUGGUACUGAGACACGGACCAGACUCCUACGGGAGGCAGCAGUGAGGAAUAUUGGUCAAUGGACGAGAGUCUGAACCAGCCAAGUCGCGUGCAGGAAGAAUGUCCUUAAUGGAUUGUAAACUGCUUUUGCAGGGGAAUAAAGUGCAUCACGUGUGAUGUUUUGUAUGUACUCUGCGAAUAAGGAUCGGCUAACUCCGUGCCAGCAGCUGC
rnacentral:rRNA from 1 species